ensembl:lncRNA
GCAAGAGGUGGGGAAGAGAAUUCCGAAUUACAGCGAACCACAACAAACACCGGGGAACCACACAUCUGAGCAUGAUUGACUUUAUUUUCUGAUAUGUGAAUUCCUUUUAAAUUUCAGCCUUUGAUCCGAUAAUUUCUUUAUCACACUACUUCACCGUUGAUCGGAUAUUUCGGUCACACUACUUUCACGUUUGCUACAGUUGCGAUUUUAGCUACCUCAGAUACACAACAGCUUCCAAUUCAUAAGCAUUGCCAAAUGCUGUCUCUGUGACCCUGAAUGGGAGGAUGGGAUUCUGUACAAGUAAGCUCAUGUGUACACCCCAACAGCCUGCUUCCCCCAACCACCAAACAGGAAGGUAUAUUAAACACCUGGCCAAAUUAAAAAACACCAGUUUUUCAUUUAAUACCAGUCCUAAAAAGCUCUUGUAGAGCCAACAACUGUCGCAGCACUUAAUCAUGGAAAGUGAUCCAACCUGUGUCUCAGUAACAGUGCUGCCACCUGCAGUUGUGAACCCACCAGCACUGCCCACACAAGGUGCUCCUCUCACUGAAGCUGCAAUUAGGAAGAUUGUUAUUGGACUGAUAGAAAAGCAGCAACAACAGCAGCCAAAGAAAGAAAUGACAAGAACCUGCCUUUCAUGUGGCCAACUCAAGUCCUUUUACACGAAUGAUGGCUCCUCAAUUCAUUUUCUUUCAUCUGAGUGGGCAUGUUAGGUACUUUUACUGCUCCACAAAAGUAUUUUAAACAUAUGGAGCAGGGGGCCUCACAACCCCCAAAAUGUAUUAUGAGGAUUUACUGUCUACACCCUUCUUUCAACAAGAACUUCAAUUGACAUAGUGGAACAACAGAAGGACAAACAGAAGAGGAAGGCAGCAGAUGUGGUACACUCUGGCCGUUUGUGCAGGUUCUGUCAUUGUCAACUAAAACUGGGCCCUAACAGUCCUCACAUUUAUUCAGUGUUCUCCGGAGUGGCAGGGAAAUAUAUUUAUUAUCCCUCCAAGGUGUUGUCCAUUUACCAGGCCAAGGGUAUGGAGAAAGAAAUGGCCUGGAAGGAGUUCCAGGCAUCAGCUUUUUAUGAGGAUGAAAAAAAAGUUCAAAGUUCAAGUUCAAAAGGUUUAUUUGUCAUUUGCAAUAACAAGUUAUGGCAAUGAAAUGCUUGGUUUUCCUAUUUCCAACAGUGCAGUUAAAAGUUAAAAAGUAA